UUUCGCUUCUUCCUGCUGANNGAGGUUUACAACCNGAAGGCCGUCAUCCCUCACCCGGCGUCGCUGCAUCAGGCUUUCGCCCAUUGUGCAAUAUUCCCCACUGCUGCCUCCCGUAGGAGUCUGGGCCGUGUCUCAGUCCCAGUGUGGCCGGUCGCCCUCUCAGGCCGGCUACCCGUCGUCGCCUUGGUGAGCCACUACCUCACCAACAAGCUGAUAGGCCGCGGGCUCAUCCUUCACCGCCGGAGCUUUUAACCCCCACCCAUGCAGGCAGGAGUGUUAUCCGGUAUUAGACCCCGUUUCCAGGGCUUGUCCCAGAGUGAAGGGCAGAUUGCCCACGUGUUACUCACCCGUUCGCCACUAAUCCACCCCGAAGGGCUUCAUCGUUCGACUUGCAUGUGUUAAGCACGCCGCCAGCGUUCGUCCUGAGCCAGGAUCAAACU
rnacentral:rRNA from 1 species